rnacentral:rRNA from 1 species
UACGUAGGGAGCGAGCGUUAUCCGGAUUUAUUGGGUGUAAAGGGUGCGUAGACGGGCUAACAAGUUAGUUGUGAAAUCCCUCGGCUUAACUGAGGAACUGCAACUAAAACUGUAAGUCUUGAGUGCAGGAGAGGUAAGUGGAAUUCCUAGUGUAGCGGUGAAAUGCGUAGAUAUUAGGAGGAACACCAGUGGCGAAGGCGACUUACUGGACUGUAACUGACGUUGAGGCACGAAAGUGUGGGGAGCAAACAGG